CCCAGAGUGCCCACCCAGAACUCCACCUCUGACCUCACAAAGGCCUGCUUCAGAACUCAGUCUCCACUGCACUGCUGGCCAGACGAGGGAAGUUAUUUUGGGCAGUGCAUCUGGACUUGGUUCAAGUGGCACCAGCCAAAUCCCUGCCUUACUGACCUCUCCCCUGGAGGAGCAGGAGCAGCGCUCAAGGCCGCCUUGGGAGGGCUGAGAGGCAGGCUCUGGACUGGGGACACAGGGAUAGCUGAGCCCCAGCUGGGGGUGGAAGCUGAGCCAGAGACAGUCACAGAGGAACAAGAUCAAGAUGCGCUUUAACUGAGAAGCCCCCAAGGCAGAGGCUGAGAAUCAGAAGACAUUUCAGCAGACAUCUACAAAUCUGAAGGACAAAACAUGGUUCAAGCAUCUGGGCACAGGCGCUCGGGCCACUGUAUCAGGUCCACCCGUGGCUCCAAAAUGGUCUCCUGGUCCGUGAUAGCAAAGAUCCAGGAAAUAUGAUGCGAGGAAGAUGAGAGGAAGAUGGCGCGAGAGUUCCUGGCCGAGUUCAUGAGCACAUAUGUCAUGAUGAACAUACAUAUGAUAGUUGAGAAAGACACAUAUUCUGAUCAUGAAGAAAUAAACACAAGUUAAAUAUGACUAAGCAGAAAGAUGGAAGGACCAGGAACGGUGAUGCUAACUUGGAACCACGAUGCAGGCUCUAAACUCCUCUACAAUCAUCCUCCCUUGUGAGAAAAAUACAUAAGAUCUAAGGCACAUGAGAUGAUAUGCUUUCUGUUUGAGUUUCUCCUUUAUGUUACGCAUACUGAUAAAAUUGUUGAUGCCAGUUGAUCUGAAGGUCCCAGCAAGGAGCCGACUCACAGAAGAAUGCAGUUUUCACAUCAUGAUGAUUUAAUCUUCCUUGACCUGAGCAAUUGACAACCCCAAUUCUCCAGAACCUCACCCGCCACAAUCCCCUUAAAAACCCUGGCCCAGAACCCCUCAAGCAGACAGAUGUGAAGCUUGAGGAUUCCUUCAUCUCUUUGCCCAAUGGCAUUGUGAUUAUUAAACUCUUUUUCUGCUGCAAAUUAUGAUGUCUCAGUGUAUUGGUCUAUUGCUGCUCAGUGGGCAUAUGAAUCUGGCAGUCCUGUAAUAGGGACAAAAGAUAAACUACUGGC
rnacentral:lncRNA from 1 species